UACGGGGGUUGCAAGCGUUGUUCGGAAUUAUUGGGCGUAAAGGGCGCGUAGGCUGCUGUGCAAGUCUGGUGUGAAAUCUCAGAGCUCAACUCUGAAACUGCACUCGAUACUGCUUUGCUUGAGGACUGGAGAGGAGAUUGGAAUUCACGGUGUAGCAGUGAAAUGCGUAGAUAUCGUAAGGAAGACCAGUGGCGAAGGCGGGUCUCUGGACCGUUACUGACGCUGAAGCACGAAGGCGAGGGGAGCAAACGGG
rnacentral:rRNA from 1 species